ACCGAGUGUAAACGACAGCCCCGUUUUCCCCCCACAGCCCGUCUUCCCCCCAACCGACGGGAAUCAAGGAGCAUUUUAUCCCUACCAUUUCUACCUGCAGCCUCCACUCUAUGAUUACGGACAGUUCUACAGAUAAAAACCCGAGUAUGACACCAAAAGAGCAAAAAAAUAAAAAAUAAAAAAUAGAAUAUGCGGCGAUCGACCUAUCACCUCUCUCCCAGACUUCAGGCGCUCCUCUCUCUCUCUCUCUCUCUCCCUCCCCGUAGAAACCCAACUAUGGCUACGCGUAUGAAGUCAACGACCCACACACGAACAACUUCCAAGGCAAACAGGAAACUAGCGACGAUGGCGUUGUUCGCGGGAGCUACCACCUCCUGCAGCCUGACGGGCGUGUUAGAGUGGUCACCUACCAUGCUGACGACGCCACAGGUUUCAAGGCCGACGUAGAGUACCUGCCCGUUGCCUCUGGUGGAACCUACUAGCAACCUUGUCGACUCUUUGGGACUGGAAUCUUGUUCGCUUCGGAGAAGUUGAGGCCUUUUUAAAGCCUCUAGAGGUGGAACCUCGUUCUCUUCCUAGAAUUUAAGUCGUAUUAACUUCCUAGAAAUGAAACCUCAUCAUCUCCUUGGAACUGAAACCUCGUCGUCUCUUUGGAACUGAAACCUUAGAAAUCCUCUCCUUAGAACUGAAACCUCAUAAACUGCCUCCUCUACUUAGAACGGAAACCUCAUUAACUCCUUAGAACUGAAACCUCAUCAUCUAAUUAGAACUGAAACCUCAUUAUCUUAUUAGAAAUGAAACCUCAUCAUCUAAUUAGAACUAAAAUCUCGUUAACUCGCUAGAAUUAAAACCUUAUCUCCCUAGAACUGAAACCUAACCAACUCAUUAGAACUGACACCUCAUUAACCCUAGAAAUCUAAUUAUCUUCUUAGAACUGAAACAUGUCACUAGUUCCUAACUGAAACCUCAUCAGCCUAGUAACCUGAAACCCCCAUAAACUCCUUAUAAUUGAAAUAAAGAGCGCGAGACUGACAACAGACACUUUUUUUGUAAUAGGAGAGAGGGCGCCCUUUCUUCGGUCACCUUAAAAUACAUACAUAUAUAUUCUAUUCUUUUUUUAAUCAACAUAGAUCGAAUUAUCGGGAAAAAAGACUAAUAUGUUUGUUGAAAGUCGAGAUAGCUAAUAUGUUUAUUGAAAAACAAAACAGCUUUUUCGAAAUUCAGGUGGUUUUCGAAAUAUUCGUCUCGUUUUUCUGUAAACAUGAUUUAAGCACGGUGUUGUUGUUUGGAACAUGAAUCGAAUUAUCAGAAAAAAAAAUGUAUAUUGAAAGGUGAGAGAGCUUUUUCGAAAUUCAAGUGUUUUUUUCGAAAUUGUUAUCUCGUACUUUUUUAUAUUAUUUAAGAACGAAGUUGUUGUCAUUUUCAGUUCUUUUAUUAAGUAUUUUUGUGUUCCAUGUACGGUCUAUGUUCAUUUCAUGCUGUUUUCAGCUAUGUGUUAAGCCUUUGUAUUUCGUAUUUAAUAAUAAAACAUGCCAAUGAA